rnacentral:sRNA from 1 species
AAAGGAAUUCAUAGGUUAUUUGAGGAACAACUUCAGGCUGGUAAUGCAGAACCAACAGUUAGUCCUUGGAACACUCCCAUUUUUUUAUUAAGAAAAAGUCAGGUAAUUUGAGAUUGCUACAGGAUUUAGGGGCAAUAAAUCAUGCAAUUAAGCCUAUGGGAUCAUUACAGCCAGGACUUCCUUCCCCCCCAGCCAUCCCUUUAAACUAUAGCUUGAUGGUAAUAGAUUUAAAAGAUUGUUUUUUUCUCUAUAAGGUUACAUCCUGGAGAUUGUGAAAAAUAUGCCUUCAC